UAGGGAAUCUUCGGCAAUGGACGAAAGUCUGACCGAGCAACGCCGCGUGAGUGAAGAAGGUUUUCGGAUCGUAAAACUCUGUUGUUAGAGAAGAACAAGGACGUUAGUAACUGAACGUCCCCUGACGGUAUCUAACCAGAAAGCCACGGCUAACUACGUGCCAGCAGCCGCGGUAAUACGUAGGUGGCAAGCGGUGUCCGGAUUUAUUGGGCGUAAAGCGAGCGCAGGCGGUUUCUUAAGUCUGAUGUGAAAGCCCCCGGCUCAACCGGGGAGGGUCAUUGGAAACUGGGAGACUUGAGUGCAGAAGAGGAGAGUGGAAUUCCAUGUGUAGCGGUGAAAUGCGUAGAUAUAUGGGGGAACACCAGUGGCGAAGGCGGCUCUCUGGUCUGUAACUGACGCUGAGGCUCGAAAGCGUGGGGAGCAAACAGG
rnacentral:rRNA from 1 species